rnacentral:rRNA from 1 species
GCUAGUAAUGGCAGGUCAGCAUACUGCCGUGAAUACGUUCCCGGGCCUUGUACACACCGCCCGUCACACCAUGAGAGUUGGGAAUACCCGAAGUCUGUGAGCUAACGUAAGAGGCAGCAGUCGAAGGUAGAAUCAAUGAUUGGGGUGAAGUCGUAACAAGGUAAC